rnacentral:rRNA from 1 species
GAUAAACGCUGGCGGCGUGCAUGAGACAUGCAAGUCGAACGAAGGAUCGGGCUUGCUCGAUCCUUAGUGGCGGACGGCUGAGUAACGCGUAGGUGACCUACCCCGAAGUGGGGAAUAACUGCCCGAAAGGGUGGCUAAUACCGCAUGUGGUCGCACGUUCAUUCGUGCGAGUAAAGCCGCAAGGCGCUUCGGGAGGGGCCUGCGUCCGAUUAGCCCGUUGGUGGGGUAAUGGCCUACCAAGGCGACGAUCGGUAGGUGGUCUGAGAGGACGAUCACCCAGACUGGGACUGAGACACGGCCCAGACUCCUACGGGAGGCAGCAGUCGGGAAUUUUGCUCAAUGGGGGAAACCCUGAAGCAGCAACGCCGCGUGAGGGAUGAAGGCCUUCGGGUUGUAAACCUCUUUUGUCAGGGACGAUGAUGACGGUACCUGGCGAAUAAGCCACGGCUAACUACGUGCCAGCAGCCGCAGUAAUAC